rnacentral:rRNA from 1 species
CCUACGGGUGGCAGCAGUGAGGAAUAUUGGGCAAUGGACGCAAGUCUGAACCAGCCAUGCCGCGUGAAGGAAGAAGGUGCUAUGAAUUGUAAACUGCUUUUAUACGGGGGAAAGUACAGAUACGUGUAUCUGGAUGACAGUACCGUAAGAAUAAGGAUCGGCUAACUCCUUGACAGUAGCCGCGGUAAUACGGAGGAUCCGAGCGUUAUCCGGAUUUAUUGGGGUUAAAGGGUGCGUAGGCGGUCAGGUAAGUUAGAGGUGAAAGCGCGGUGCUCAACAUCGAAACUGCCUAUGAUACUGUCUGACUAGAGUGUAGAUGCGGAAGGUGGAAUGUGUUGUGUAGCGGUGAAAUGCUUAGAUAUCACACAGAACACCGAUUGCGAAGGCAGCCUUCCAAGCUAUUACUGACGCUGAGGUACGAAAGCGUGGGUAGCGAACAGGAUUAGAUACCCUAGUAGUC